UCUUAAAGAAAACCAAAUCUGCAUUUACCAGCACCAAAAGUACAUGCAUUACAUAUACACCCAAUUCUCUGUUUAGUUUCCCAAAAUGGGUGGUAGAAUCAAUUGUAUGGAAGGAGUUAAUGUUCGGGUCAUGGGGAGCUUUCAAAGCACAGUCUACAAAGGGACAUUGGCUACAUUUUCAUUCACAUCAUUGUUCUAUGUUGUAAAAAUUUUAUGUCAGUUUAAAUGGAGAGAACUAUUAAUAGUCAAUCAAUGGAGAUUAAAAUGAAUCAU
rnacentral:lncRNA from 1 species